rnacentral:misc_RNA from 1 species
GAUGAAGAACGCAGCGAAAUGCGAUAAGUAAUGUGAAUUGCAGAAUUCAGUGAAUCAUCGAAUCUUUGAACGCACCUUGCACCCUUUGGCAUUCUGAAGGGUAUGCUCGUUUGAGUGUCAUUGUACUCUCACACUCCCGAUCUUUGCAUUGGGAGCAGUGGACUUGGGUUUGCUGCUUCACCGUCGCUUACCUCAAAUAGGUUAGUGCAACUCUUGGUUGGACAUAGUACGGCGUGAUAAGUGUUCUUCGCCGGUGCCUCGCAAAGAGGGUGGCCGAUCGGGAUGUUGUGCUCCAAACCGUCUUCGGACAAUCUCUGACGACUCGACCUCAAAUCGAGUAAGACUACCCGCUGAACUUAAGCAUAUCAAUAAGCGGAGGA